rnacentral:pre_miRNA from 1 species
GACUACAUUGACCAGGAAUGGGUGAAGAUCCUGAGGACUACAUUGACCAGGGUCCUCAGGAUCUUCACCCAUUCCUCAGGAUCUUCACCCAUUUCUGGUCAAUGUAA